CGGGGUGUGGCGCAGCCUGGUAGCGCGCCUGGUUUGGGACCAGGAGGCCGGCGGUUCAAAUCCGCCCGCCCCGA
rnacentral:tRNA from 1 species